rnacentral:rRNA from 1 species
UUACCUACGGGGGGCAGCAGUGGGGAAUAUUGCACAAUGGGCGCAAGCCUGAUGCAGCCAUGCCGCGUGUAUGAAGAAGGCCUUCGGGUUGUAAAGUACUUUCAGCGGGGAGGAAGGUGUUGUGGUUAAUAACCGCAGCAAUUGACGUUACCCGCAGAAGAAGCACCGGCUAACUCCGUGCCAGCAGCCGCGGUAAUACGGAGGGUGCAAGCGUUAAUCGGAAUUACUGGGCGUAAAGCGCACGCAGGCGGUCUGUCAAGUCGGAUGUGAAAUCCCCGGGCUCAACCUGGGAACUGCAUUCGAAACUGGCAGGCUAGAGUCUUGUAGAGGGGGGUAGAAUUCCAGGUGUAGCGGUGAAAUGCGUAGAGAUCUGGAGGAAUACCGGUGGCGAAGGCGGCCCCCUGGACAAAGACUGACGCUCAGGUGCGAAAGCGUGGGGAGCAAACAGGAUUAGAUACCCCUGUAGUC